GUCCUCAACAGUUGCUGCUUCAUUUCUUCUUCUAUUGCUCCCUGCGGCGGCUACGGUUGUACUCUUCUACUCGUCUCCUCCCCCUCCUCCUCUUCUGUUCAAUACACUUCUUCUCGCCUGGUACUCUUCUACUGAAGUGGAUCUACUCUCCACUAGUUCAUCUGGACAGCAAAUUGGAUUUGAAGAACUGCUAUCAGGCCGUGUGUAGAUCAAGAGCAACUACAAAUAAAGGUUGACAUAUGGAGGUUUGUAUGGAGUGUGAGAAUUCCAGCGAUAAAGAGAUGGAGACAGCCAAGGCUUGGCUGAGGCGCGCAGCACAAGCCCAUCCAAAACGUCCCACCAUUCAAAUCGAUUAGACACGAGUGCUGACUGACAUGCCUCUGCCGCCAGGAAGGCCUUCAAUGUAAUCCCGGAGCCAUGUACUGGUGAUUCCAUCAGUUGCCAUGGAUACUGUUCCAACAUUUGAAACAACUGAUCACUGCACCACUGUAGGCACCGGCAUCUCUUUUGAUUCGUGUACCGGUACUCCGGUAGUGCAGCUCCCAAUAAAGAAGGCUCAUUCUCUCCAACAUGAUUGCCUCGGCUUGUCUUGGAAGCAAAUGCGAUUACGUUCAUGGUGAUGGUGGAUGAUUACCACUAUUCGUCUUCAUGCUAAUAUUGGUGAUGGUGGAUGAAAUAAUUUACAGUGUGUUGGGAGCCUGUUCAAGUUGGUGUCCCGCUUUUUGUGUUGAUCCAACAUGAAUGAGCUUAUGGUGGUAUUGAGAAUGAACAUAUAUGGUGGUGGUACUGAGAGUUGAUGGAUGCUGAAGCAAUUGCCACCAGCAGGGGAGUGAGUGUAAUCUGAAUUCGGAGCUACCUGGCUCGCUGUGAGUCAAUUCAGGGAACGGAAAGAAGGGAGGAUGACGCGGCGUUUUGGCUCCCGGGGUCAGAUGAGUCUGGGAGUGAACAGUAAAUUCGUUAAAAAAUACUAAAAAAGUUCAAUUUUUUUGGUGAAAGAUGCUCGAGUGCGUGAUGUUCAUCAAAAUUUCAGAGUAUUUAAACAUCUGAGUAGCUCUCAACAAAAAGACAAAUUUAAGGUCUAUAAAAAAGUUUACUAUUUUGUGUUGUUCUAGCCUGUUUUUUUCCUGAGAGCUACUCAGAUGUCCGAAUGUGCUGAAACUUGGCACGGACAUCAUGCACUCAAGCAUCUUUCAACACACAAAAAAUCGUACUUUGGAUUUUUCUAAUAUUUAUUAUGAAUUUAUUGUUCAUCAGGUGUAAAUGAGCUCGAGCUCCGAAUUGGAUAUUCAGGACUGUAAGUUGUACUCCUAUGUAACAUAAAAAUGUGAGGAAAUCGGGAAAAUUAUAAAAUGAGAAAAGUAAAAAACUCAGAUUGAAAAUAGAAUAUUCUAGAAAAGACUGUAAACCACAAAUGGCAUAAAUAUUAGGGGAAGUAAGGACUUAUAUAAUAAAAUAAACAUGGGAAUGAUUCUUAAGCUUUCAAUACAGUUUAGUUAAUUUGCUGAAUUUCGCAAAAAAAUGCUGAAUUUUGUACAAUAUAUAAUACGUGUCCUUUUAUUCUAAAAAAAUGUGUCUUUUCUUGUUUUUUCCUUUAUUUGUUUCACAAUGUUUCUCAUCUGUCCUUUUCUAAAUCUUGUGGAUUAUACAAGUUUCUAGAUAUAUUAUUAAAUUUGGAGCAUUUGGUUUUGUCUCCAACUCCGAGUCUCACGGCUGAUUCGUUCCCCUCUCCUUAUCCCCUCGCUACAGUGCAGAGAGGCGACAAGGGAGGGAAUCACCUUCCCUUGAUCCGCCGCCAUCCAGGCCAGGUGUUCCUUCUCUCUCUGUCCGUCGUUUCAGCCAAGAGAGUGAGGAACUCCGUUCCUGCGGCCCCGACGUGUAGAUAGUCGGGUAGUUCUUCCUGGCGGUGUCGUCAAUGUGGGAGAAGCGGUGUCGCGGAGGAAUAAAGGUGUAUGCGCCUUGUCUCCUGCUCGGCGAGGCCCUUGUGACGUAGCCGGCAAGCGUCCGGCGGUGUGAGCCGACCAGGUGGCAUGCUCGGGGUAAGGUCGUGGCGGCGGAGGUGGUAACCUUUCUUUGGACCUUUUUUUCCCUCCCGCUCCAUCUCCGUCUCAAUGAGGUAUGCUCUGGCCUUGCUGUGGAGGAGGUGCAGCGACGUUCCGACGGUCUUCGUCUGGUGGCAUGUAUCACCACAAGAUUCAAGGUCUUGCCGGCUCAGGUGGCAGCGGCGCGUCUGCGUCUUGUCUCGAUGGUGGUGGUGGUCGUUUGCUGGUGACGAGGUGCUUUGUACUGCAGGUGAAACUUCAAUACAAUCUAGGACCUUUCUGCGAAAAGAGCUCCAAGUCUCAGAUUUUUCCGAAACAAAAUAUUACACGUUAGUGGAGGCUGCUUUUUCUUUUCUUCUUGUGGGGGUUAGUGGAGGCUGCUGCUAAUAAUGCGCGGAGAGAUGAGACGAGACGACCGCAAGUCGUUCAUUCCAGGUCCACAAAUACUCCGUAGUUUGUUUCCACUACUUCCUGUCUGCUUCUUUCUUUCUGCUCUCUGCGGCGACUACAGACUACAGUGGUCGCGCCGGUCUCUGCUUCUUUCCUUUGUCUCCGGUUCUCCGAGGAAAGAUACUACGGUGGUCUCCUCCCAAUCUGCGACGGCGACGGCGACAGCGCCCAAGAGUUCGAUCCAUUCAACGUAUGCUCAGCUCAGCAGAGGUGGAGAGUUGCUUUUCGGUGUUGGAGACGCUCUUCUUCAGCUCGCCCUCUUCAUUGAUCCAAGCCAGAACUGGAUCUAUAAUCUAUUCUCCAGUAGUUCAUCUUGGGCUGCUUUUGCUUGCGGAGGACUCUGCAAAUUGGAUUUGAAGGAGCUGCUAUUCAAGAAUUUCAAGCCAAAGACAAUGCUAUAGCCGUCUGUAGAUCAGAGAGCAAAGACAAAAAAAAAGUCGAGAUAUGGAGGCCGCUGCUGGGGCGUUGAGCCCUGUCCUCCGUAAGCUCGGUGAGCUGCUCGCCGGAGAAUACAACCUGGAGAAGCGAGUGAAGAAAGGUGUACAAUCACUUCGUACAGAACUGGAGAUGAUGCACGCCGUACUUCGUGAGGUUGGCAAGGUGCCGCCGGAUCAGCUCCAGGAGCCGGUCCGGAUUUGGGCUGGCAAGGUGAGAGACCUGUCUUGCGACAUGGAAGACGCUGUUGACGACUUCCUGACGCGUGUGGGUGAGGGUUCAGGCAGCAAGCCAACGGACAUGAGGAGUCGAGUCAAUAAGUUCCUCAAGAAGACCACCACAUUAUUUGGUAAGGGCAAAGCACUUCAUCAAAUCUGUGAUGCCAUCAAAGAAGCUCAGGAUCUUGCCAAGGAGUUGGCUGAGCUGCGUAAAAAGUAUGAGCUUGACAUGUUUAGCUCUACCAACGGUGCUACCAUUGACCCUCGCGUGUUAGCUCUACAAAAAGAUGUAGGGGAGCUUGUUGGACUUGACCGCACAACGGAUGAACUUAUUAAAACACUGAUUUGUGAGGACGGGAGUUCCAAGGAGCACUUGAAGACAAUCUCUAUUGUUGGUGUUGGUGGCCUAGGCAAGACAACCCUCACCAAAGCAGUUUUCGAGAAGAUCAAAGCCCAAUUUGAUUGUGCAGCUUUUGUCCCGGUGGGUCAGAACCCAGAUAUCAGGAAAUUUUUCAAAGACCUACUCUAUGGCCUCGACAAAGAGAAGUUCAAAGACAUUCAUAAUACAACAAGAGAUGAGAAACUACUCAUGGAGGAAAUCAGUGAAUUCCUUCUGGAUUGGAUAAGAGGUACCUCGUCGUAAUUGAUGAUAUAUGGGAAGAAGAAAUAUGGAGAUUUAUAAAUUGUGCUUUGUGUAAAAACAAACUCCACAGUCGGGUAAUCACGACAACUCGUAAUGUGAGUGUGUCUGAAGCAUGUCUCUCUUCCAGCGAUGACAUGAUUCACCAAAUGAAACCUCUUUCUGAUGAAGACUCACAGAUACUCUUCCAUAGAAGAAUAUUUCAAAGCGAGGAGAAAUGUCCAGAAGAUUUGCAAGCAGUAUCAAGAGAGAUACUGAAGAAAUGUGGUGGAGUACCAUUAGCCAUCAUUACAAUAGCUAGCCUUCUAGUCAGUAACCAAAGGAUAAAGCAGAAAGAAGAAUGGAUGCAUGUGCACAGUUCGAUGGGCCGUGGAGUUACAGAAGGUGGUAUUGUGAAGGACAUGAAGAGGAUAUUAUCACUCAGCUAUUAUGAUUUGCCAUCCCAUCUAAAGCCUUGUUUAUUAUAUCUAAGCAUCUUUCCUGAAGACUUUGAGAUUAACAGAGAUUUGCUGAUAUGGAGGUGGCUUGCUGAAGGGUUUAUCCAAUGUGACAAAGAUGAAACCAGGCUGUUUGAGAUCGGAAAGAGCUACUUCAACGAGCUUAUGAACAGGAGCUUGAUCCAGCCAGCGGAAACCAAUUAUGAAGGAACAGUAGUAACUUGCCGUAUACAUGAUAUGGUGCUUGACCUUAUAUGCUCGCUGUCAAGUGAGGAGAAUUUUAUCUCCAUAUUGGAUAAUGCUCAGUGGCAUGCACCUAAUCUGCAAAGGAAACUUCGCAGGCUAUCACUUCAUAAUAUCAAGGCAAAGUGUCGGAACCAUCAGUUUGAUAGCACUAGGCUGUCAAAAGUGAGGACCUUUGCUGUUUUUUCUCCUGUUACCUGUGAUUGGUUGCCAUCUCUCUCAAGCUUUCAAUUUUUGCGUGUGCUAGAUCUUGGAAAUUGUGGCAGCCAUGAAAGUAGCUCUGGCAUCAGCCUCAAGUAUGUAGGGAAUUUAAUUCACCUAAGGUACCUAGGGCUCAAGGAUGCAGAUGUUCGCGAACUCCCUGUGGACAUAGGCAAGUUGCAGCUCUUGCAGACACUGGAUAUAGGAGGCACUAUUAUAGAAGAAUUACCUUCAAGUGUUGUUCAGCUCAGAAAUUUGAUAUGCCUACGUGUCAAUUAUAGGGUGAGGCUGCCAAAAGGAAUGGGGAGCUUGAUGUCCCUUGAAGUGCUGGAACAAGUAGGAUUAUCCUCAUCUCCUCACAUUGCGGAAGAGCUGAGCCAUCUGACAGAGGUUAGGACACUCAGUAUUGACUGUGCUAACAUGGACGAGGAUCUGAUUGAUAUAUUAAUCAAGUCUCUAGGCAACCUGCACAAAUUGCAAAAUCUGCGUAUUGAUGAUGGUGGCAGAUUGAUAAAUCGCAUGCGUGAAAGCUGGGUGCCCCCUCCAAACCUCCGUAGUUUUGAUUCAUGGAGCAUCUCUUCUUCUUCGUCGUUCCUGAGACUUCCAAAGUGGGUUAAUUCAAGGUCGCUUCCCCACCUCUCCCGCCUGGAAAUAGAUGUGGAAGAACUGCAAGGGGAUGACAUUCAGAUCAUUGGGAUGCUGCCUGCUCUUCGGUUUCUGCGGCUGCGUGCAAGUCGCGUGAUGGGAAGGUUGGUUGUGAGGGCCGAUGCAUUCCCAUCUGCGAGAUGCUGCAUAUUCUGGGAGUUUCUGACGCCGCCGUGCCUUUUUCCACCUGGAGCCAUGCCAGGGGUUCGGCAUCUUGAGUUCCAGGUAUCUGCGCGGUCGAUCGCGAGUGGCGAGGUUGACUGCGGCCUGGGGCACCUCCCUUCUCUCGAGCAUCUUCAGGUUUCUCUGUGGCGUGAGAAUUCCAGCGAUGAAGAGAUGGAGACAGCCGAGGCUUGGCUGAGGCGGGCAGCAGAAGCCCAUCCAAAACGUCCCACCAUGAAAAUCUAUUAGACACGAGUGCUGAGUGCUGACAUGCCUCUGCCGCCGGUAAGGGCUUGAACAAAAUCCUGGAGUCAGGUACUGUAAUUCCAUCAGUUGCUGUGAAUGUUGUUCCAACAUUCCGAUAGGCAACAAACAAUUCUCUGUGCCGUCGCCCGUCGCAGUCACCAACAAUCACUGUACCACCGCAGCUCCCAAUAAAUGAAGGCUCAUUCCCUCCAACGUAUGUUCAGAUUCUGGCCUUUGCUAGACGGAGGCCUCCGCAUGAUUGUUCAUGACAAACUACUGUAUUUGCUAUUCUUUCUGCAUAUGCUUUCAGAAACUAUUUGUCAAGACUCGUACAAUAAAUGGCUGCCUCUACGUUUAUUUGAUUGUUCACAUACAGCAUCGUUUUGUUUCUACUGGCUUAUUAAUUAAGAGUUGAUUGAACUCAUGCUGGCUUGUUUUGCUUUGCUUGGCACUUGCUUAUUCAGUCAAGGCUCGUACAAUGAAAGGCAGUUUGUUCAACUCCUGUUGUAGCUCCAGAUUUGCUUCAUCCUAUUCGUUAAGC
rnacentral:rRNA from 1 species